rnacentral:rRNA from 1 species
AGUGAACGCUGGCGGCGUGCUUAACACAUGCAAGUCGAACGAGAACGGAUUAUAGCUUGCUAUAAUUGUCAGCUAAGUGGCGCACGGGUGAGUAAUGUAUAGGUAAUAUGCCUCUUACUAAGGGAUAACAAAUGGAAACGUUUGCUAAUACCUUAUACUCCUUAUUAACAGAAGUUAAAAGGGAAAGAUUUAUUGGUAAGAGAUUAGCCUGUAUUGUAUCAGUUAGUUGGUGGGGUAAUGGCUUACCAAGACUAUGACACAUAACUGGUUUGAGAGGAUGAUCAGUCACACUGGAACUGAGACACGGUCCAGACUCCUACGGGAGGCAGCAGUGGGGAAUAUUGCACAAUGGACGAAAGUCUGAUGCAGCAACGCCGCGUGGAGGAUGACACAUUUCGGUGCGUAAACUCCUUUUAUAUGAGAAGAUAAUGACGGUAUUAUAUGAAUAAGCACCGGCUAACUCCGUGCCAGCAGCCGCGGUAA